CGGAGCGGGUGCAUGAUCGCUCCGGUUUUUACCGGAGAGGAAAGUCCGAACUCUACAGGGCAGGAUGGUUCGUAACACGAACGCCGGGUGACCGGGGGAAAGUGCCACAGAAAACAAACCGCCCAAGUUAUCGGGUAAGGGUGAAACGGCGAGGUAAGAGCUCACCGCUUCCGUGGUGACACGGAAGGCAGGGUAAACCCCAUCCAGAGCAAGACCAAAUAGGGAGAUGUUUGAGGGCGGCCCGUCCGAAAUCUCCGGGUAGGUUGCAAGAGGUGUUGAGCGAUCAACAUCCCAGUGAAAUGAUCAUGACCCUUUUCAGGGAACAGAAUUCGGCUUAUAGCCCGCUCCAAUUU
rnacentral:RNase_P_RNA from 1 species